AGAGGUCCGUGCUAACGCGAACCAGGCUGACUAACGCGGGACGAUCGUAACGCGAUUUAUUUUCUCGAAUUUGUUGCGAUACACGGUGAAUUUUGAGUGGCGACGUCGGGGGAAACGGAGUUCAAGAACCGAGAACUUCAAUUUGCAUCAAACUCUCAAGACGAGUGUACUUUACGCGUCGCGUUAGAAGAGCUCCUAUUAUCCUCGUUGCAUUCCUCUCUAAAUGAAAUCACAUCGUCUGCGGCGAGCCACGCUUCGAGAACCACGAGAAACUUUGGUGGACUUGUUUGAUAAACGGCCCGGCAAACCCCGUGGCAAAUCAUCGCCAAAGUCAAAGGCAUUCCUGGCUGGAUGAUAGUUUGCGUUUCGCAAGGGAUUUGUCGUCGGCGGUCCGUGCCGAUUCGCGAUCAAUUUGAUGCAGAGACGGUCGCGGCGCAGCCAGUCCAAUCUCUGCUCGUUCCCUCCGCGAGUGAAGCACCGGUACGUUUCUCGACCAGACAUACCGGUUGAUCGAGCAACCUUUUUGAAGCACGAAGCGCAACAAGUUCAACGAAGCGGGCGGUGCGUGUCGACCGGGCUCUCUCGAGCUCUCCGUCGAUGGGAAGGGCGCUGGAAAAGCUACGUCACACUGUCAGCAGCGCGAAUCGCCAGAGGUUCAGCCUGGUGCUCGCUAAGCAAUUCGUUCGUGCACCGUGAAAUAUAAUAACGCCGAGGGUAAAUUGGAUUAUUCUUGUGGCGUGUCUGGUCGGUUAAAUUUGGAUGGAAACGACUCGAACAGUUCCGAUCUUCGAUGAAACGUACAUUGAAAGCGCGAGAAGCGAGUUUCUGGGAGCCGAGUCUUGUUUACGGGGUGCUGACGGGGAAAAGAAGUGCGAAGUGACAGAGAAAAUUUGAAAAUUUGACGGAAAUGAAACUAGUUGUUUCCACUGUUAGCAAUCUUCCUCUCAGAAUUUCGGGAAAAUGUGUAUUAAUACUAUUAGUCCGUAGUAUGAUUGUAUAGAUUCGCAUAGUGAACCUCAUUCAUUGAGAAUUAAUAACUUAUAAACAAAAAGGAUGAAAAUAUUGCCAAUAAUAACCCAGUUUUAAUUGACACCGUGGUAUAGAGGAAUUGCCAUCACCAUACAAAGACAAAAGGUACAAAAGACCACGAAACAACGAUAGCGAUGCAUCAUACGAUUAGAUCUCUGCGUCACGCGGCGCGAGAUUGUCAUUCGCGCCAAAAAAACGAAGAAAACGCAACUGCUAUGGACCAGUGUUACUCGCAGAUAAUAUACAAAACAAGCGGAUGGAAACAGAGAUGGAGCGAUACGUGGGUACGCCUAACUGUAAUUGGAUUAAUGGUUUGCUAUGAAUUAUUAGAAUUUCUGACUAUAUUUCACGUUGAAGUAAACAUUUUCCUGUUGGGUGGACUCGUAAAUAAUAUCCGUUCUAUAAUUGAGCUCUCCAGUUAAAUAUUCACCUGUCGUUUAAAUAUUAGAAGGACCGAAAAGUAAUCAAAAUGUCUUCGACUUGGAAAAGUUUUUCAAUGAAUAAUCGAAAAACUUGUUUAAAAAGGGAAUCGAACGACUGCCUUUAC